rnacentral:rRNA from 1 species
GACGUAGGGCGCGAGCGUUGUCCGGAUUUAUUGGGCGUAAAGAGCUCGUAGGCGGCUUGUUGCGUCGACUGUGAAAACCCGCGGCUUAACUGCGGGCUUGCAGUUGAUACGGGCAGGCUAGAGUUCGGUAGGGGAGACUGGAAUUCCUGGUGUAGCGGUGAAAUGCGCAGAUAUCAGGAGGAACACCGGUGGCGAAGGCGGGUCUCUGGACUGUAACUGACGCUGAGGCGCGAAAGCGUGGGGAGCAAACAGG